rnacentral:lncRNA from 1 species
GCCAACGGUAUCAAGGCCCACCUGGAGUACAGGAGUGCCGAGAUGGAGAAGAGUAAGCAGGAGCUGGAGACGAUGGCGGCCAUCAGCAACACUGUCCAGUUCUUGGAGGAGUACUGCAAGUUUAAGAACACUGAAGACAUCACCUUCCCUAGUGUUUACAUAGGGCUGAAGGAUAAACUCUCGGGCAUCCGCAAAGUUAUCACGGAAUCCACUGUACACUUAAUCCAGUUGCUGGAGAACUAUAAGAAAAAGCUCCAGGAGUUUUCCAAGGAAGAGGAGUAUGACAUCAGAACUCAAGUGUCUGCCAUUGUUCAGCGCAAAUAUUGGACUUCCAAACCUGAGCCCAGCACCAGGGAACAGUUCCUCCAAUAUGUGCAUGACAUCACGUUCGACCCGGACACAGCACACAAGUAUCUCCGGCUGCAGGAGGAGAACCGCAAGGUCACCAACACCACGCCCUGGGAGCAUCCCUACCCGGACCUCCCCAGCAGGUUCCUGCACUGGCGGCAGGUGCUGUCCCAGCAGAGUCUGUACCUGCACAGGUACUAUUUUGAGGUGGAGAUCUUCGGGGCAGGCACCUAUGUUGGCCUGACCUGCAAAGGCAUCGACCAGAAAGGGGAGGAGCGCAGCAGUUGCAUUUCCGGAAACAACUUCUCCUGGAGCCUCCAAUGGAACGGGAAGGAGUUCACGGCCUGGUAAAUGUCACACUGUGCCCAGAAUGGAUGACCAGGAACCUUCAAGAGUGGCUGAAAAGAUUGCAGAGUUAUCAUAAUAAAUUGCUAACUUGCGUA